rnacentral:tRNA from 1 species
CUGAUAAAAGGAAGACUUAAACUUCCCUUGAUGAGUUUACAACUCACCGCCUAGACCCUCGGCCAUUUUACCU